rnacentral:tRNA from 1 species
UGGAUACCAUAUGAUAAAUUUAUUGAAAUCUUAUAAAAAAAUAAUAUGUUCAUUAAGUGUGAUUU